ACGGAAGGCAGCAGUGGGGAAUAUUGCACAAUGGGGGAAACCCUGAUGCAGCAACGCCGCGUGAAGGAAGACGGUCUUCGGAUUGUAAACUUCUGUUCUUAGUGAAGAUAAUGACGGUAGCUAUGGAGCAAGCCACGGCUAACUACGUGCCAGCAGCCGCGGUAAUACGUAGGUGGCAAGCGUUGUCCGGAAUUACUGGGUGUAAAGGGAGCGCAGGCGGGAAAUCAAGUUGGAUGUGAAAUGUCGGGGCUUAACCCCGGAACUGCAUCCAAAACUGAUUUUCUUGAGUGAAGUAGAGGUAGGCGGAAUUCCGAGUGUAGCGGUGAAAUGCGUAGAUAUUCGGAGGAACACCAGUGGCGAAGGCGGCCUACUGGGCUUUAACUGACGCUGAGGCUCGAAAGUGUGGGGAGCAAACAGGAUUAGAUACCCUGGUA
rnacentral:rRNA from 1 species